CAAAACAGCAGAGUUAGGAGGGGAGACGGGUUAAGUACUUCACCAUAAAACGUUCCAGAAACUUGGAUCUGAAUGGGGGCCUUUGAAAUAUUUCAGCCUGACCUUUUCACGUACAGAUGUGAAAACUGUGAUCCAGACCUGGCCAGUGACUUGCUAAGGGCCAUGCAGCUAAGUAACAGCAAAGGUAGAACGCAGGGCUGCAGUCCCUGCCGUGAUUCCUCAACUUGAAUCUAGUAAUGCUCACUAUAGAUGAGACAACAGCCUUCUCAGGUUCUCGGUCCAUGGGACUAUAAAAUGGAAUGUUGGGCUUGGCACAUCACAACACAAUUGCCUAUUUACAAGUUUAUUCCCAAUCUCCAAUGGAAGUGAAUGCCCCAAGGAUGGGGACCAUGGCUUCCUCAUCUUUGUCACUGGGUGCCUUCCACAAGGCCUGACACAUAGCAGGUCUUCAGGUGCAGGAGAUUGACUCUGUGCUCUCCUUCAGCAAGGCACAGGUUGAACUCAGAACAAGUAAGUCAGAGAUGAAAUAAAUGUCUUCGCAUAAAGCUGCGAGUUUACAAAGAGAAAUCAAAUGAGGAACCCAAGCAACUGUUGCUCUCACAUAACUUGGAGGUUUCUAAGGCAGUGUUUCUCAAUGUCAAGAUGUCACCGUUUCAAAAGAGAACCUGAAUUCUCAGAAGAUUUCAACGCAAGAUUUUCACUUGCCUCCAUUUUGCAAAUAAAUAAAUGCCAUAC